GUCCCGUACCCGACCCGGUUUGUUGUUACCGUUGGAUUCGGAUCAUCCCCAAACAUCUACAAAACAUCACCGUUUUCUUCAUUGGACUUCCUAAACUAUAUUUUCUCAGCCGUCCGAUUUUAAUCAGAUGAUCCAAAAUACCCCUUUCUUUCCCUAUAUAAAGUCCCCUAAUCUAUAUAUGGACAAACCCUAACUUCUAGGGAGAUGUCCCAUCCAUCCUCCUAGCCGCCGCCACACUCCACCUUGUCGUCUCCCACCUCGGGAUCUCCUCAUUCCCCCCCCCCAAUCCAUCGAUCCAACCAACCAGAGCUCCUCCUCCCGUGCGCCUCCACCUGCGCCCGCAUCCUUCGUCCUCCGCGCCCAGGCAGUCCCCGACGCCAUGGCCCCGCCGUCAAGCAGCUCGACCCCGCCGCGGCCUGAAGUCCUCUGCUCCAAUCGCCAUCACCGGAUCGCGCCACCACAGAGACGCAGCCGAGCCCCAUGGCGCCGUUGUCAGUGACCCCGAGCGCGCCUGAGAUGCCCUUCCUCCGCUGACCUCCUUCGAGCGCCGCCCCUUCCUCCUCUACUCCAACCCACGCCUUCGGCGGCCUUCUCCUCGUCGUCGCCUAGUAGGUGCUCUCCCCGAUCCUGGUGCCCCAUCUUCGACCGAAGCCAGGAACGCCCAGCGUCCCUGCGCCGCCGCGCCAAGUCCCCUGCGUCGAGCCGCCGCAUCCGCCGCUGCGGUCCCGCCGUGCUGCGCCCCUGCUUUGUCUCGCUGCGGGAGGAGCAGAGAGCCAGCGCCAAGCCCCUGCCUCCUGCCGUUGCCCGGAGCCGGCGCCCCUUUGCCCGUCCUCGCCGGAUUGAGCAGCCUCCGCGCCCCUGCCAAGCCCGCCUCCUGUCACCAAGCGCCGCCACUGCCGGACGCCCCGCGGCGUCGACCUGCUCUCAGCGCCGAUGCUUCCUCUGCUUCGCUCGACUGGAUGCAGCUGCUCGCCCCAUUGACCGCGCGAGCCUCGUCAGCGCAUAUCUGCCUCGCUGGCCAAGGCCCAGCCUGCUCCAGCUCCUCAACCGGCCUGCUACCUCCU